UACGUAGGGGCGCAAGCGUUGAUCCGGAUGUCUGGGCGUAAAGCGCGCGCAGGCGGUGAUGUAAGACAGAUGUGAAAUCCCCGGGCUCAACCUGGGAACUGCAUUUGUGACUGCAUCGCUGGAGUACGGCAGAGGGGGAUGGAAUUCCGCGUGUAGCAGUGAAAUGCGUAGAUAUGCGGAGGAACACCGAUGGCGAAGGCAAUCCCCUGGGCCUGUACUGACGCUCAUGCACGAAAGCGUGGGGAGCAAACAGG
rnacentral:rRNA from 1 species